CCUACGGGUGGCAGCAGUGGGGAAUAUUGCGCAAUGGGCGAAAGCCUGACGCAGCGACGCCGCGUGAGUGAUGAAGGCCUUCGGAUCGUAAAGCUCUGUCAGCAGGGAAGAACGCACUUUGUGUUAUUCAGUAGUGAAUUGACGGUACCUGCAAAGGAAGCACCGGCUAACUCCGUGCCAGCAGCCGCGGUAAUACGGAGGGUGCGAGCGUUAAUCGGAAUUACUGGGCGUAAAGGGCACGUAGGCGGUAUGUCAAGUCAGGGGUGAAAUCCCCGGGCUCAACGUGGGAACUGCCUUUGAAACUGGCAAACUGGAGUGUGUGAGAGGAGAGUAGAAUUCCAGGUGUAGCGGUGAAAUCCGUAGAUAUCUGGAGGAACAUCGAAGGCGAAGGCAGCUAUCUGGGA
rnacentral:rRNA from 1 species